GAUGAACGCUGACAGAAUGCUUAACACAUGCAAGUCCACUUGAACUUCGGUUUGGGUGGCGGACGGGUGAGUAACGCGUACAGAACUUGCCUCACAGCUAGGGACAACAUUUGGAAACGAAUGCUAAUACCUGAUAUUAUGAUUAUAUGGCAUCGUAUAAUUAUGAAAGCUAUAUGCGCUGUGAGAGAGCUUUGCGUCCCAUUAGCUAGUUGGAGAGGUAACAUCUCACCAAGGCGAUGAUGGGUAGCCGGCCUGAGAGGGUGAUCGGCCACAAGGGGACUGAGAAACGGCCCUUACGCCUACGGGAGGAAGCAGUGAGGAAUAUUGGAUAAUGGACCGAGAGUCUGAUCCAGGAAUUCUGUGUGUACGAUGAAGUUUUUCGGAAUGAAAAGUGCUUUCAGUUGGGAAGAAAAAAAUGACGGUACCAACAGAAGAAGUGACGGCUAAAUACGUG
rnacentral:rRNA from 1 species